GUGGUAGCUAGACGGGGAAAGGAGGCACAAGAUGCGUUAUUUCGGUGCAGAAUCCCAGCAUCAAGUACUGGAUUCAGAACCCGAGUUUUCUCCCAUUUUCCUAUCAUCUCAGCAUAAAGCAAGACUUCUUUAUAUCAUUAUAGAACUGUUAGUGAAUGAGGUGGGAAUAAGAUGGAAGGAGUUGAAAUGAAAAGAAGUAUGGAGUUAAAUAUUUUUACAUUUCUGUGACCUGCAACAGUCGCACAGUGAAGAGAAACAUCCCAAGCUUUCCCAGCAAGUACUGCAUGAAAAGAUUUCAUAAAAAGUACUAAUUGCACAGAAGGUAGAAAGCUAAAGCUCCCUGCUUGGGUUGCUAUAGCAACUGCCCUCCAAAGCUGUUUGUUACCUGUGCAGAGAAAGGUGGAAGAUACGUGCUUUGGAAGAGCAUUUGUAUCUGCAGGGAAAGAUUUUUGUGACUGUAGCCGAAUCAUAAAAGUCUACUGACUACUGAAAGACUGGGGAAACUACAGCUCCUAAAAUAAGAGCAUGGUUGGAUCUGCUGGCCCUCUCUGCUGUUUGCCAGUUAAGACUAAAAUAAACAUAAUGACUUAUU